GCUGUGGAACACACAAAGUGCUCACCAGGGCAGUACGUCAACCAGACAGGUACAGCAUCCACAGAUACUGUGUGUGGUGACUGUGUAGGCGACACAUACUCAGAUGGAUCAUUCACAUCCUGCAGACCACACACACAGUGUGAGUUGAAUGGACUUGUUGUACUAAGAGAAGGAUC